UCUCAGCUCUUAGACAGUGUGUGGUUAGUAGUUUGGAGGGUCUAGUGGAUGGGUUUGGGUUUGGGGGGAGCCUAGUCAUAAAAAAGUCCCUGCUGGCUGGCUAGAAAAGCUGAGGGAGCUGGGGGAGAGGCCCAGGGUUUUGUCCCAUUGUGGAGGUCCUAGAGAGUGGGGCAUCACACCUUGUUCACUCACCUCUUAAGUCCCCUCAUUAUUGGAGCAAGCUGUGAGAUUGCAGGAGUACUUUAAUAUAUCUUUAACCUGAUUUUAUUAUGUUAUUUCUAGGAAAAUGUAAGAAUUGCCUUUAAGACUUUGCCUUCAAAUGGAGCCUCCUGCUGUUUUCUCCUCUCAUGGAGCAAAUCCAGGUAAACAGUACGGACGCACACAUGAACUCACAGAGACCGGCAGCAUGUACAAGGCCUACAUGGGGUCAAACCAGACAGGGUGCUAGCACUGAGAAACAGAAGGAGGCACAGGCUCCCACACCUAUCCAAGAAGCUCUAUGCAACUGAUACCAUUGGCAACAGAAAACAUCAGUUUUCUAUAAUGGAGUGUCACCAGAUGGAGAAAUACGAAUUGAGAUGAAUCAUGGUGAUGAUCUCUGCUACCAGGGACACUGGGAUAAAACUGGACUUGCUGAACAUAGCAGACAAUGAGGACUACUGAGAACUCAAGAACAAUAGCAAUGGGUUUUUGAUCCUACUGUACGUAUUGGCUUUGUGGGAGCCUAGGCAGUUUGGAUGCUCACCUUACUAGACCUGGAUGGAGGUGGGUGGUCCUUGGACUUCCCACAGGGCAGGGAACCCUGAUUGCUCUUU